rnacentral:lncRNA from 1 species
ACAAAGUGCCUUGGCAGCAGGUGAAAUGACUCAGAGCAAGGCUGCUCACCCUGUUCUGAACAGCACUGAGACUGCUCCCUUCAUUUUCUGGAAGUCAUGACUAUCCAGUUCCUCAGAGAAAGCACCCUGCCCAGAGAGCCGUCCCUGCCCAGACUCUGCCAGAAAGGGAUCCGCUAGCUCGGGGCAAGUCCCUCAACUUCCUUCAGCUUCAGUUUCUAUCACACAAAAGGAAGAUAUGGCAAUGGAUUUCAGAACAGGAAGGUAGGAAAGGAGGAGGUCACCUGCUGGAAAACUGGGAAAUUGAUCCUACUGCUCUUCAGCAGUGAUCUGCCGCCCAAAUGUGGAAAAAGUCUCCAUGUGACAUGAUAAAGCAUUUUAAUUUCAGCCAGACACUAGCUUUUAAAAUGUUCUUCCAGACAUUUUCCUAACAAUUAGAAAAUUAGCCUUCAAUAUUCCAGUUGCCUUUUUCCACUUGACUUGGUAAACCACCUUGAACGGAGAGUAUGUCUUUCCCUUACAUGCAUUAUGGACACAUCUUGCUUCUGCAUGGGGACAGCCACCACGAGGUUGGACAUUGCGUACAUUUCUACUGAGCAGAUCCUCACGGAAGGCAU